GACGAACGCUGGCGGCGUGCUUAACACAUGCAAGUCGAACGGAAAGGCCCUGCUUUUGUGGGGUGCUCGAGUGGCGAACGGGUGAGUAACACGUGAGUAACCUGCCCUUGACUUUGGGAUAACUUCAGGAAACUGGGGCUAAUACCGGAUAGGAGCUCCUGCUGCAUGGUGGGGGUUGGAAAGUUUCGGCGGUUGGGGAUGGACUCGCGGCUUAUCAGCUUGUUGGUGGGGUAGUGGCUUACCAAGGCUUUGACGGGUAGCCGGCCUGAGAGGGUGACCGGCGACAUUGGGACUGAGAUAGGGCCCAGACGCCUACGGGAGGCAGCAGUGGGGAAUAUUGCACAAUGGGCGGAAGCCUGAUGCAGCAACGCCGCGUGCGGGAUGACGGCCUUCGGGUUGUAAACCGCUUUCGCCUGUGACGAAGCGUGAGUGACGGUAAUGGGUAAAGAAGCACCGGCUAACUACGUG
rnacentral:rRNA from 1 species